rnacentral:tRNA from 1 species
GCGGGUGGAUCGGGGCGGACUGGACUGAUUCCCAAGCUGACAGCGCGGGUUCGAUUCCCGUCACCCGCUCCA